CAAAUCUUCCUUUCAAUGAGAGGUAAUUGAAAGAUCCGGAAAAGUGGCUUCCCUAAUAUUACUCAAUAACUUUUAUUCGGUGCCUAAACCACUGUCCAUUGAGGCUUCGCCCACAUGGUGACAGCCAUUCUAUAAUUCACUUUCUCUUUGCAUUGUGUUUCUUUAUAUGGAGAAAAAGAGGUCAUUAGGAUACAGAGAAAAAUCGGCUUAUUCUCUGGUGGCAGUCAAUCAGGACACUUCAAUCUAUGAGUUUAGUUGGAUGAUAAGACGUUCCUUUGACAGCCAGAACACUAUGGAAAGAUAAAGCUCAUAUUUUUUAGUAGUGCCAAAGAACAAAUGGUAUCAUGGCAUGGUUAUCGGGUGGGAAGAGCACAUGCCUGUGAGAAAUGGUCUUUUCACAACAAAUUCUACAGAAAUAGAAUUUUAUUGGCUGUCAGUAAGAUGCUUUCAUAUGGGAAAAACUUCUUAGCACACAAGAGACAAAUUUCUUUAGAAUCGAUGGAAGGGAGAUCCUGCAAUUCUGUUCAAUGCCAGAAGCCAGUCUUGUGAGCUGUCACGGUAGUUCUUCAUGUGAACGUUGCUCUCUUUCCCCAUAUUCAUGCUGUGGAAGCAAGUUUGGAGUGAGUGAUCGAUUUGUGUAAGUGAAGGUUAUUGUCCACCCAUACAAAAUAUUUGGGAAAGUGAAGCAAAACAAAACAUUAAGAGGUUCACAUUUGUAGUUUUAAAGACUAUAGACAUUCCAAUAUCCGGAAAUUGUCUGGAUACAAUGAGACACAACUUCCCAUUUCAAAAUAGUGACAAUGGGACUUCAGACAUGGAGGUUCCAAAUCAUUUCCUUGAAUGCUUCUAGAGAAUAGAGAAACAUUUUUCUUACUACACUCUGGCUUAGGCCUCGUCCUCACAUAUAAUUUGAUUUGACUCUUUGAGCAAGUUUAGGAAUCAAGUCAAUAAAGCUAAACAACCCUUUUGGGUUAGUGUUUUAAUUAAGACAUCAAAAGAGUGCACAUUAACAAUACAAUUUUAAUAUCCUUUAUAUGUUAAAGUGAGUUGCUUCCCUAAAAUAGAAAAGAGCUUGUAAAUUUAUUAUGGCUACCUUUGAAAUUAAAAAAAAAAAUACCUGUGAUAUAAGCAGUAGAUAAUCAGAGAUGAGAAAGUUUACCCUUUCAAAGGAAUAGAAGUAUAAUAGAAUAACAAUUCAUAAUUCAUUGUGCCCCAAAUUUAAAUGGAACUAAAGAAAAACGGCACCUCUAAUAUUUAAGAUUAACUCACUACAUCUUCCCUCAGUGAGAAAAUAGAUCGCUAAUUGUAGAAUGUGGACAAUUUAUUAAUUUAUGAUUAACAGUUCAUUGUUGAGAAACUUAUCUAUUAGUUAUUUUUAAAAAUUUUGUGAAGCAUUGGAAUUGAAUACUCAAAAAGAUAUGGUCCCUGCCUUCAAGGAGCUUAGUUAUGCAAUCAUUGAAAUGUCAAAACAAAGCCAAUUAUUUCUAAGAAGAUAUACAAUGUCACGUGUUUGACAUCUCUUCUGUGUUUAUAUAUGGUAUUCUCUCUUUUUUUUCAGGUCAAGUGUACAGUCAAAAUAAAAUACUAAAACAUAUUAAAGUUAAUGUCUAAGUAUAAAAUAUGUUUAUGUAUAAGAUUCUAUAUGUACACAUAGGAUAUGUACUGCUGUCUAUGUAACUCAGUAAAAGGAUAACACGUUUGCCAUGUUGGACUUGAACAUUGUGGCUUGUUGUUUGGAUUGAUUUAAAACCCUUUGAUAUUUGGGUCAAUUACAUUGUAGCAAAAUGUGUGUAAUCUGAAAAAAAAAAGUCUGAUUACAUUUCCCUUUAAAUAUCACAAAGUUUCAAAUUUAAGGGGAAACACCUUUACAGAAGUAUUGUUGGAUUUAUCUCAACCAAAAAUACAUGAAGAUCUUUUUCAAGUGUUCAGUUGUUCCCAAAUAUGACUGGGUUUGCCCACCCUAAAAGCAUCUACAUUUACACGUGUAUACACCCACAUACAGUAUACAUACUGUAUAUAAUAUAUAUGAAAAUGUUUAGUAUGCACUACUUUUGUUUGGAACUCCUUGAGUUAACAUUUAUAGUGUAGCAAUUGGUGUAAAGUGCACUGUGAUUAUAAAAAACAAAGCACAGUAAAGUCACAGGUCUUGUUAUCUUGCACUAAAAAUGUGUUUACGUAUUUAGCAAUUGUACGUUUACUUUCUUGCUCUUUUCAAGCAAUUAAAACAAAUAGCUAUUGAAGAAAUGAUAUAAAAUAAUAUGUUUUUUUAGUGGAUAAUGGCACUACAUUUUUAAAAGACAGGGUUUUUAAAAGAAACCAUUUAACAUCCAUUCCAACAUAACAUGUUUACCGUAUCUAAGAAUCUGAAUGUCAUAUUACAUUUUUCAUAACUCAUUAAAAAUGUCAGGUAUGUGCCUGAAAAAUUGUGCAAAUAAGCAUUAGCUAACAGAUUUCUCUAUUCACGUGUUGUUAGCCCUUUCUAUAUACAUAAUAAUAUAAACACUGAUGUUUUAAUUUCUCUUAAUUUUUGUACUUGAUUUUUUUAGGUAACAUGUAAUUAUAAAUGUACUUUGAUACUACUGAAGUAACCAGAUGUUGUUUGAAAACAAUUUGUUUUCUUUAGUGCAUUGGCAAUAUUUUACAAUACUUUUGUGCUUAUUUAUUUGUGCUCCCGUGUAAUUAUAAUAAAAGCAA
rnacentral:lncRNA from 1 species